rnacentral:rRNA from 1 species
UGAAGAGUUUGAUCAUGGCUCAGAUUGAACGCUGGCGGCAGGCCUAACACAUGCAAGUCGAGCGGUAGAGAGAAGCUUGCUUCUCUUGAGAGCGGCGGACGGGUGAGUAAUGCCUAGGAAUCUGCCUGGUAGUGGGGGAUAACGUUCGGAAACGGACGCUAAUACCGCAUACGUCCUACGGGAGAAAGCAGGGGACCUUCGGGCCUUGCGCUAUCAGAUGAGCCUAGGUCGGAUUAGCUAGUUGGUGAGGUAAUGGCUCACCAAGGCGACGAUCCGUAACUGGUCUGAGAGGAUGAUCAGUCACACUGGAACUGAGACACGGUCCAGACUCCUACGGGAGGCAGCAGUGGGGAA